GACCUCCCGGGAUCGCGUCUGGAGAGUGGCUCGUAUUCUGCCAGCUUCGGAGACGGGAGGGAGAGCAAGCCCGGCAGAGGAAUACCCAUUCCAGCCCCAGCUUGCUCCAUAGCUGGCGGUUGGAAGACUCUCUGCAACAGUG